rnacentral:rRNA from 1 species
UGCAGUCGAACGGCAGCGCGGGGCAACCUGGCGGCGAGUGGCGAACGGGUGAGUAAUAUAUCGGAACGUACCCAAGAGUGGGGGAUAACGUAGCGAAAGUUACGCUAAUACCGCAUACGAUCUAAGGAUGAAAGCAGGGGAUCUUCGGACCUUGUGCUCCUGGAGCGGCCGAUAUCUGAUUAGCUAGUUGGUGAGGUAAAGGCUCACCAAGGCCACGAUCAGUAGCUGGUCUGAGAGGACGACCAGCCACACUGGAACUGAGACACGGUCCAGACUCCUACGGGAGGCAGCAGUGGGGAAUUUUGGACAAUGGGCGAAAGCCUGAUCCAGCAAUGCCGCGUGAGUGAAGAAGGCCUUCGGGUUGUAAAGCUCUUUUGUCAGGGAAGAAACGGUUUGGGCUAAUAUCCUGAGCUAAUGACGGUACCUGAAGAAUAAGCACCGGCUAACUACGUGCCAGCAGCCGCGGUAAUACGUAGGGUGCAAGCGUUAAUC